GCGCUCAUUUCGGCAGCACAUACCAAAAUGGGAACGAUACAGAGACUAGCAUGGCCCCUGUACAAGGAUGACGGGCAAAUUUGUGAAGCGUUUCAUAUUUUU
rnacentral:snRNA from 1 species